rnacentral:rRNA from 1 species
UACAGAGGGGGCAAGCGUUGUUCGGAAUUACUGGGCGUAAAGGGCGCGUAGGCGGCCUGUUAAGUCGAACGUGAAAUCCCCGGGCUCAACCCGGGGACUGCGUCCGAUACUGGCAGGCUUGAAUCCGGGAGAGGGAUGUGGAAUUCCAGGUGUAGCGGUGAAAUGCGUAGAUAUCUGGAGGAACACCGGUGGCGAAGGCGGCAUCCUGGGCCGGCAUUGACGCUGAGGCGCGAAAGCCAGGGGAGCAAACGGG